GUCAGCGACCAUACCACGUAGAAAGCACCGGUUCUCGUCCGAUCACCGAAGUUAAGCUACGUUGGGCCCGGUUAGUACUUGCAUGGGUGACCGGCUGGGAAUACCGGGUGUUGCUGACAUCU
rnacentral:rRNA from 1 species